rnacentral:rRNA from 1 species
AUUGAACGCUGGCGGCAUGCCUUACACAUGCAAGUCGAACGGUAACGGGCCUUCGGGUGCCGCCGAGUGGCGAACGGGUGAGUAAUACAUCGGAACGUGCCCGAUCGUGGGGGAUAACGAGGCGAAAGCUUUGCUAAUACCGCAUACGAUCUACGGAUGAAAGCAGGGGACCGCAAGGCCUUGCGCGGACGGAGCGGCCGAUGGCGGAUUAGGUGGUUGGUGGGAUAAAAGCUUACCAAGCCGACGAUCUGUAGCUGGUCUGAGAGGAUGAUCAGCCACACUGGGACUGAGACACGGCCCAGAGUCCUACGGGAGGCAGCAGUGGGGAAUUUUGGACAAUGGGCGCAAGCCUGAUCCAGCCAUGCCGCGUGCAGGAUGAAGGCCUUCGGGUUGUAAAAUGCUUUUGUACGGAAAGAAAAGCCUUCGUUUAAUACAGGAGGGUCAUGACGGUACCGUAAGAAUAAGCACCGGCUAACUACGUG